rnacentral:lncRNA from 1 species
GGAGCCGUGGAGGGAACUUUCCCAGUCCCCGAGGCGGAUCCGGUGUUGCAUCCUUGGAGCGAGCUGAGAGCUCGAGUACAGAACCUGCUAAGGCCAUCAAACCUAUUGAUCGGAAGUCAGUCCAUCAGAUUUGCUCUGGGCCGGUGGUACCGAGUCUAAGCACUGCGGUGAAGGAGUUAGUAGAAAACAGUCUGGAUGCUGGUGCCACUAAUAUUGAUCUAAAGCUUAAGGACUAUGGAGUGGAUCUCAUUGAAGUUUCAGGCAAUGGAUGUGGGGUAGAAGAAGAAAACUUCGAAGGCUUAACUCUGAAACAUCACACAUCUAAGAUUCAAGAGUUUGCCGACCUACCUCAGGUUGAAACUUUUGGCUUUCGGGGGGAAGCUCUGAGCUCACUUUGUGCACUGAGGACUCCUAGAAGUACCCCACCCCACCCCUGCUCCUUGGAGGACAACGUGAUCACUGUAUUCAGCUCUGUCAAGAAUGGUCCAGGUUCUUCUAGAUGAUCUGCACAAAUGGCUCCUCUCCUCCUUCCUGAUGUCUGCCAUUAGCACUGGAAUAAAGUUCCUGCUGAAAAUCCACAUCUCCCCUGGGUCCGGUGUUCUGGAAGUGAGAGAGACAAUGUCACACCUCAAGGAGACAGCUCUCUAGACAGGAAGGUUAUUCACGUCCCAUGUCAAGUCUAGCUAGAGUUCAGAGCAAUUGAGAAGUGCGAUUUUAUCUCCUGCCUUUCAUUCUAUACCCUGCUUCUGAACCAUCGUGUUCAACUGUGAAACUCACGCUUUGGUGACCCUGACUCCAAAACUUAAUACACCCAAGGUCAGCCCCAGUGAUCUGCUUCAUAGCGAGGACUUUGGGUGGGUCUUCCCAGGGAGUAGGGCACCCUCAGAGAAUGUGGCUUUGGACUUCAUCACAGCUAGGGUCUUUUGUGUCACUUCAGAUCUAAACUUGUAACUGUGCUAGAUCUGUUUCUAAUGUGACAACAUCACAAACCACGAGUCCAGAAGCCUAAUCCAUAAUCCUACCUCCUCAUGACGAAGUCUCAUGCUCUGUGCUCAACAUGGUUAGCUGCACAAGAUGUAAACCAAAGCUUCACUGAACCCUCGACCCAAAUCGGUAACUCAAGUGCAUCAAUCAUAAAGAACCUCCCCGAACUCAGUAUUUAUGAUUAUUUUUGAGGCAGGGUCUCACUCUGUCGCCCCGGCUGGAGUGCAGUGGCAGGAUCAGGGCUCCCUGCAGCCCCGACCUCCCAGGCUCCAGCGAUCCUCCUGCCUCAGCCUCUUGAGUAGUUGGGAGUAGAGAUGCCUCCCACAUCGCCUGGCUAAUUUUUGUAUUUUUGUGGAGAGGGGAUAUCUCGCCACGUUGCCGAGGCUUGAAGCCAGAUCAAGCAAUUGGGUUCCUUGGAUUUCCGAAAUAGACCCCAAUAUUCUGCCUUUACCCCGGAGGAUGCAGAUGUACCUUCUCUCAGGCCGAUGACCUCAGGCCUCCACGGUCCCUGGAGCUCUAGGAAAGGUGGGCGCGAUCUCGCGCCCACACCCAGUGCUCUGGGUCAUAAGCCUGGAUCUGGAAAAACAAAUGCGCUUUGAGAAGACGGGGACUCCCCAGGAUACCCCUCUCUCCCCUCGUCCAGCCUCCAGCCCACCCGAUUCCUCCCCACAUCCUCCACCUCCCCAGGCCCCACCCACCUCCUCCAACUCCUCCGGGGAAACCCAAGCCCUGCAGCGCAUGGAACAGAAGAACUGGAACCGACGCUUCUGGAACAAGGCUAUCUGAGAGCAGUUCUUCCUGGCCCUCGGGUUCAUGGGACGGCAUAACUGGAACCAAUGCUUAGGGCGCAAGGGUAUGUGAGAGUGGGUCUUCCCGUACAGGAAGUAGAAGAUCUUUUGUUUGGGGGCCUCGUCGUCCUCCUCCAUGUCAUUGGCCAGAUAGCUGAGGACAGAAAUCAGGUUGCUGCUCAGGGGCACCACCAGGAGAGACCUCCGGCUGAGGUCAGCUUCCCAGAGAGGAAGGUAAGGGACCGUCCCUAGCUCAGGACUGGCACCCACCCUGCAGAGAGCCACGCCUUCCUCAGGAGGGCUCUGCUGGACAGAGACCUGAUCAAGGGCAUCUCCCACUCCUUCAGGAUGGAGACAAAAACCCAACUGGUGACCAAGAGUGGUGGCUUAGGCCUGGAAUCCCAGCACACUGGGAGGCCGAAGCAGGAGGAUCACUUGAGGCCAGGAGUUUGAGACAGGCCUGGGCAACAUAGCAAGACCCUUGUCUCUAUUAAAAAUAUAAAAAAUACGCCAGACGUGGUGGCUCAUGCCUGUAAUCCCAGCACUUUGGAAGGCUGAAGCAGGUGGAUUGCUUGAGACCAGGAGUUUGAGACCAGCCUGGCCAACACAGAGAAACCCCAUUUAUGCUAAAAAUACAAAAAUCAGCCUGGUGCGGUGGCACACCCAUUAGUCCUAGCUACUCAAGAGGCUGAAGCAUAAGAAUUGUGUGAACCCAGGAGGCGGAGGUUGCAGUGAGCCAAGAUUGGGCCCCUCCAUUCCAGCCUGAGAGACACAGCAACACUCUUGUCUUGAUAAAUAAAUAAAUAAAUAAAUAAAUAAAUAAAUAAAUAACUGUCCAGGUGUGGUGGCACAGCCCUGUAGUCGGAGCUAAUCAAGAGGCUGAGGUGGGAG